UGUCGUCCGCGGAGCUCUGCGUCGGUUCCUCGGUUACAUCCCGGGGCAUGACGGCGCAGUGCCGACCGCGGUGCUCCUCCUCGCGGCUGGAGCCAUAUGUCACGAGAGGGACAGCGCUGCCGACCCGAAUCCCGCCGGACUGAGCCGACUCCCGUCAGAGAGAGGAGCUGCCGAGCCGCGCCGAGCCGUGCGUCCUGCUGCGGGACAGUCGGUGGAGAGCUAUUGCGGCGGCUGGCUCGUAGAUCUCCGGUCGCCUCGCUCUCGUGAGAUGAUCGUUGACCAUCAAGUCGGACACACAUCUACCCAGGAUGCAUUGCGCUCUGAUUGCCGGUGAUCGAUUCUGCACAAGACUGGCUCGUCUCCAACGAGCCGAAUCUCCCCCCUGCUUUCCAUUGGUGUUGGAUGCCAGGGCAAUGCCGUCUACAGAAUCCACAUCACCAGACAAGAGAGCACCGCCAUGCAAGAGGCUGUGGUGAUGGGUGUCCUGAGGAGUCCCACAUGCUGCGUCACACCACAUGGGAUGGAACCUGCUCCUGUCUCGCCUCUCACUCCUUCUCGUUGCUGACGCCCCACAUCUGUCUGUCGGGUCAGAACAUUAUCGGCCGACAUUGUGUUGUUCCCGCGACAGAGCUGACUACUGCUCAUGACACAGCAGCUGGAUACUGGGACUGGAGCUCAGAUGUGCAGUUCAUGCAGCCUCACUCACACACACACUCACACACACACACACACACACAUCCUCAUCGUGCUGGCUCCGGAAUGCCAGAAAAACACCUUUGUCCAAACUAUCGGAUACGUUAAAUCUAAUGCAGGAAUCAAGGAAACAAAGAGAUAUCCAUUAAAUAAGGUCUUACCAGAGGAAGAGGAGAAGAACAAAUGUAAAAACCUAUCACUCACACUUCAGCUGAGCUGCGGCUCUUGUAUCACAUGACUGGGUGUUGGUGUUUGAACAUUAUCUGCUGGGCUGUUACUGCAGCGCACAUAUCUAUGUUGAUUAACACAUUUAUAAAGUACAUCUGAAAUGAC